UACAGAGGUCUCAAGCGUUGUUCGGAUUCAUUGGGCGUAAAGGGUGUGUAGGUGGCGCCGUAAGUCGGGUGUGAAAUUUCGAGGCUUAACCUCGGAAACUGCAUUCGAUACUGCGGUGCUUGAGGACUGGAGAGGAGACUGGAAUUCAUGGUGUAGCAGUGAAAUGCGUAGAGAUCAAUGAGGAAGACCAGUGGCGAAGGCGGGUCUCUGGACAGUUCCUGACACUGAGACACGAAGGCCAGGGGAGCAAACGGG
rnacentral:rRNA from 1 species